GACGAACCGUGCGAACGUUGUUCGGAAUCACUGGCUUAAAGGGCGCGUAGGCGGCCGAGCGGGUCGUGGGUGAAAUCCCCCAGCUUAACUGGGGAAGUGCUUACGAUACCACUGCGGCUGGAGGAAGGCAGGGGCACUUGGAACUGUCGGUGGAGCGGUGAAAUGCGUUGAUAUCGACAGGAACGCCGGUGGCGAAAGCGGAGUGCUGGCCUUUCUGACGCUGAGGCGCGAAAGCCAGGGGAGCAAACGGGG
rnacentral:rRNA from 1 species